GUUCACCCUAUAUGUCAAAGAUAAUCAAAUUUCAUGAUUAUUCCCAAAUGGUCUCAUAAUAAAAAUGUCUAUUUUUUGAAUAUAACUAUUUGGAUUUACAUACGGCGAUAAUCAUUAUGAAAUUGUCGAGAAAACCAAAUCCAAUAAAUGGAAUUGCAUUAGCAACCGAUACUAGAAACAACGAAAAUAUAUGAGAUUUAGAAUUUUUUUUCUCAUUAGAUUCACUAAAAAAAGUCAAUUUCAGUAUUGCACUUUACCUCUCAUUAGAUCACCUUUUUUCGGCAGAGGAACUGUUGCAACUGCAACACGAAUGUUAUCCAUCAGUUAUGCAAAAAUAUGAGAGAUACAAUAUUGAAAAAAAUGUUUUCAUCUCUUGAAGCAUUAUUGACUCAGUGCAAACAAUUUUUAAUAGUUAAUAUAAGUAAGGCACAAGCCAUGAAAUAGUCAUUAACUUUUGUCAAAACGUAUUCCUACAAAGAGCUACAGAAUUCUGUAUAAAGACAAUUUUAUCGUUAUUUUACGAUAAUUCCGAGAAAUUUCUAUUCACUCGUACUAAUGAGUUAUUAUAUCGCAGUUUCAAUUCGAAAAUAGGAAUAUUUUCGGUUGAUAGGUUUGCGACAAAAAAAUCAGAAUUGGAGUUUCUUGUGUAUUUUCAUUUCCAGAUAACAAAAUCUGGACCAUGUUUGUCUUACGAAAUAACAUGUGACUAAAGAGUAAAAUCCUUAGUUCGAUCUCCUCAAAAAUACAGUACUUUUUUGUAUUUAGUUCGAUCUCCUCAAAAACAGUUUUGGGUAAAAAUCAAACAUAACUGUGAUGCACCCGGCCAGUGGAGUCGAGUAGGGGAAAUUUAGAAAAGCUUUCUCCUAAAGUUUUACACCGAUAGACCAUGCAGAAACUUUGGAAAACUAUUUUUGAAAUCCCUACUCUUAGAUAAAAAAUUGAAAAGUUACAUUGAUUCUUCGAAAUUUUAAAACCAAAGUACGUUCAACCCCUUCACUAGAUUCCCUCACGCCAUAUGGUGAGCUGCUUAAUAGAAAAGUCCUAAUUAUACGAGAUAUAAAUGAAAGAAAAAACACUAGUGAGUAUAAAAUCUGGUAUGACCAUUGCUAUUCUUAUUGACUGGAUGAAUCACAAUAUUUCGUACAUAAUUUUUUCUGUUUUUCCCGACAUAAGUUCGUGAAUUUUCAACCAUGCGAGUAUGCUGCAUAGAGACUGCACAAAGAGCUUCAACACUUCCGUUUUGGUGGAAUUUCUUCGUUUUCAAAUGACAAAUAAACAUUUCAGCGUUCGAGCCGUGCACCAUGCUGAGAGAAUUGCAAGGAUAAAGAAAAAGUGAUCCAGACAGACUUACAGAAUAGAUUAUCCGUGUGAGAGGUAAAGCAGAAAAAGGAGAUAGCCUGUGUCAGUAAGAUACAGUGAAGUUUUUUUCUCUGUGAAACUUGUUUUAUUCCUUUAAAGAAUGAACUAUGAUAAAGGAAGUAUUAAUGACAAAAAGAAAAAGAAGGAAAAGAAUAUUUUAAUGCGAUAUUGAGCUCCGAUUAGCUGGUGGUGGAAGGCAGAGAUGACAAGUGGGCAAGUUUUCCAAAUAUGUAGGGAUUGCAGAUGCAUUUUUGUAAAUGACAAUUUAAGAAGAUAAACAAUAUUAUUUACAUAAAAAUUCUUGGAUAUUAAAUUAUUAUAUACUAAAACGUUAUAUACCUAUUAACAUAAAUAUUCUAUGAAAUAAUUAGGCUUCAGACAAUUGCAUGUACCAACACAUAAAACAUUUAAUAUUGAUUUUCAUGUCUUUUUCUUUAGUUAUUUAUUUUUCUGAUAACUUUGUGCUUGUGUUUAUGAGUGCAGUUCAUUAUUUCAUGCGAGCUUACAUGAAUCUUCCGAAUGAUCCGCUUAAAGUAUAAUUAGAAAUUUGUUAGUACGCAUAUUAUGGUAAGAAAUUUUUGAAAUGUAAAAAAUACUUUUUUAUAAAGAAAAACAUUCUUUUAAUGUUUCAA
rnacentral:lncRNA from 1 species